UAAGGAAUAUUGCGCAAUGGGCGACAGCCUGACGCAGCGACGCCGCGUGGGGGAUGAAGGUCUUCGGAUUGUAAACCCCUUUCGGGAGGGAAGAUGGGACGGGCAACCGUUCGGACGGUACCUCCAGAAGCAGCCACGGCUAACUUCGUGCCAGCAGCCGCGGUAAUACGAAGGUGGCAAGCGUUGUUCGGAUUCACUGGGCGUACAGGGAGCGUAGGCGGUUGGGUAAGCCCUCCGUGAAAUCUCCGGGCCUAACCCGGAAAGGGCAGAGGGGACUGCUCAGCUAGAGGAUGGGAGAGGAGCGCGGAAUUCCCGGUGUAGCGGUGAAAUGCGUAGAGAUCGGGAGGAAGGCCGGUGGCGAAGGCGGCGCUCUGGAACAUUUCUGACGCUGAGGCUCGAAAGCGUGGGGAGCAAACAGGAUUAGAUACCCCCGUAGUCC
rnacentral:rRNA from 1 species